rnacentral:rRNA from 1 species
UACGGAGGGUGCAAGCGUUAAUCGGAAUUACUGGGCGUAAAGCGUGCGUAGGCGGUUCGUUAAGUCUGCUGUGAAAGCCCCGGGCUCAACCUGGGAAUUGCAUUUGAGACUGCGUAGCUAGGGUGCGGAAGAGGGAAGCGGAAUUUCCGGUGUAGCGGUGAAAUGCGUAGAUAUCGGAAGGAACACCAGUGGCGAAAGCGGCUUCCUGGUCCAGCACCGACGUUCAGGCACGAAAGCGUGGGGAGCAAACAGG